GAUGAACGCUGGCGGCAUGCCUAAUACAUGCAAGUCGAACGAACAGACAAGAAGCUCGCUCCUCUGACGGUGGCGACUGACGGGCGAGUAACACGUACAUCACCUACUUCUUUUACUGGGAUGACAUCGUGGAACCACAUACAAUACCAGCUCAUACAUUCUACGGCUUGAUUCAAUAGAGCAUCAGACCUUGCGCGACAGUUUGAGAUGAUGCCGCGUCGGCUUAGCUAGUUGGUAAGGUAACGGCCUACCGAGGCGACGAUGCGUAGCUGAGCUGAGAGGGUGAUCGGCCACACUGGAACUGAGACACGGUCCAGACUCCUACGGGAGGCAGCAGUAGGGAAUAUUCAGCAAUGGGAGAAAGCCUGACGGAGCAACGCCGCGUGAGUGAUGAAGGUCUUCGGAUCGUAAAACUCUGUUAUUAGGGAAGAACAAAUGUGUAAGUAACUAUGCACGUCUUGACGGUACCUAAUCAGAAAGCCACGGCUAACUACGUG
rnacentral:rRNA from 1 species